rnacentral:lncRNA from 1 species
GUUCUUAAGAACCAUACGCAAGCAAGGUUGGAAGUUGAGAGGAAAGCUCCAAGUAGCUAUCACUUAGUUAGCUUGCGUGAAGAUUCUAAACAAGAUGAAAACCUUCUGGAACGCAAUACAGUGGUCUAGAGCUAAAAAGUAUAUAUUUACAUUGAUUACAUAGAGGAAGCAUUUCCUAAAAGGGUAUUACUGGUACUUGUCAACGAGGUCCUCAUCGGUUUAUUCCGAAUCGACUAGAAUAUUGAUUUCUCAGCUGUAAUUGUUAAUUUUAAACUGGUCUAAAAAAAUGCACACCAAGCAUAAAUUUAUCUGUAUGUAAAAGUGUUUAUUUAACAGGUUCCGAUUAAAACCAGCUACAGAGAAGUGUUAUUAGUACUACCUUUUUCGUGGUUAAGUUUACCUUACCCAAGUUUUACUACAAUGACGUACCUAGCCCUAAUAUUUAGGAGGAUAAAAGUAGAUAAUUUGUCAUAAAUUCAUGAACUUCAUGAACCUUUUAGACAAAGUUUAACAGUUCAUCGUUUAUAAAGAAAUUGUGCUAGACUAAUACUCAAUAAUUUACCAUUCUACUUAUUUUUAAGCGAUAAAAUCCAUGUUAUCGCGGAUUCUCUGGAUUUCUUAGGGAUUAACCUUAAUCCCCUAGGCUAAGAAAACAGUUUAACAAUAUAAAGCUUGAUAACUUACCUGGUUAAGCUCUUGUUAACCUACUACUGUUUUAAUAGUUUCUAACCGUAAGGAAUAAAGCUAAGUUGUUGCAUGGUUAUCAAGGAACUACAACCGAUUCACUAACUUAGAAGCGGAACCUUAUUUUCCCUAACUAUAACCACGCUAGAUUAGGUAAUAGCCCUUAGUUAGGCCUUGAACGGGAUAGUAUGGAAAAAGGCCAUAUGCUUUAUCACCUGAACUGAUUGAGUUAAGAAUACUUUAGCGCUUAAUCUAGUAAACGGGAAUGGAGUUGUUUCCUUCGUACUUGGAGAAGAUAUUUUGGUAAAACAAGAACCAGGGUUAAGUUAUGAUUCGUUCAGGCUUGAUUAACUUAUGAACACACUAUUUAAGGAGCUUAACUGAACGGUAAAGGUAUUUCCUAUAUUAACUGUUGAGAUUCAACCUGUAAUAGGAAAAGGACGUUCUAUAGGGCUCCCUUUUCACAACGAUUUAAAUAGGGUAGCCUAUAAAGUAUACACUGAUGCCCAGCUUGGCUUUGUUUUAUGAAAAAGAACCAUCCACACUAGGCAACUUGUAUCUAGGUUAAAAAGGUAAAAAAACUAAGAAAUCUUAAAAAAAAAAGGCAAAGACCACCAUAUUUUUACGGCGACACGGACCUAUAGAAUAGACAGAGAGGUCCUUUUACUUAUAGAGGUCUUUUCUAAAAUUCAAGUUAUAUAAAAAAAAAAGAGAGGUGAGCCUGAUUAGGCGCAUGAGCCGAAGAACAUAAAUAUAAAUUUCGCUCAGCACAUAGAUGAGGUUACUAUGAUAACAAGGCCUGGUAAUAAUUACUCCUAGGGCCAUUCUAUACGUGAAGAAGCUCUUACUUUUUUUUGACUAGAUGAAGGCAAACCAUAAAGCCUGAUUUAAGAAAACGAGGAGCUAUGAGUUAGUUUAGAAGAAAAAAAUACUAACUUAGGUGGAGAUACCAGGGUAUAAAUCAUUAAGGCCUUGACGAAGAAGACAUAGCACCUAGUAGUUUUAUUCGUUCUUAUGAUAAAGAUGCAUUUUAUGGUAAAUACCCAUAAAGUUAGCUUUAUGGUUUUGUCCCAUAAUCAAGAAAGAGAGCAAGAACUAGUAUAACAUUACCCUACUACUUAGAUAAAGAAGCGAAAAAGCGGUUCUUUAGUCCUAAGAGAACCUCUUAUCUUCCUAUAUACUUUAAGGUUACUGGUAACCUAUACUAAGCUAGUUCAGAACUUAUCAGUUCUUAAAAGGAUAGAAAAAAUGGUCUUCAUAGGUUGUUAAAUACAGAAUGAACUAGUAAUCAGUAACUCCCCAAUCUCUAUAUAGAAGGAAGUUGUCUUUCUCUUAUUUGUAAGUAAACUAGAACUAGGAACACCUCGCUUUUUCUGUGAUAUGACCUAGACGUGCCUGGAGGACGAUUAUAGGUAUUUACUGAACAAAAACCAUUAUCUACUUGUAAUGGUAUACAUAUAAGUCCACGUACCAUCUGUAGCCAUGAGGUCACGUAAAGAGGGAGACUAAGUCUUAUUUAUACAAAAGCAUGGGAGAGAAAUUUUACUUUUCAUCUGCAAGGUCGUGCUUAGAGUCGUUAGUGAACAAGACUAAGAUGUAUAACUAGUAAAACUUGAUUUUAGUUUGAAAAACCGCCUUAUCAGUGUAAUACAUAUUAUAGGGCUGAGAGUUAUCAAUGUAUGUUCAGAUAUCUUGUAUCUUUUCGCCCUACGGGUACUGCCCAUGCACACCCUACUUGGUUUAGGAGUAACUUAAAAUAAAAAGGUAAUCUUCCUCGAGCAUGUACAAGACGUCAUGGCGGACACUUAUGAGGCGGCCAUACUUUUCAAGAAUUACAAUCAACUCAGGGGCCAAGGGGUUAACUAACUGGGCGUUAUUAUGGAUGCCGAAGAGGGUUAAGCUGGUCUAGCGGUACUCACCCUGAGGCUGGUAUUGUAUUAACUGUCUAGGUUCUACAUGAGGACGUUCAUUUCCCCCAAGCUUAUAUAUAACCAACACGAGCUUUCCAAUACUUAGCUAACUGUUCAGGUUAGGGUUAUAGAACUAAAGCUCACCGUUACGUAGCAUCUGGCUUAGUUAAUGUUAAUUAUUGGGCAACUCCAUAGAUUUAUUGGAUCGGUUACUUUUUUAUCUAUUUUGCAUUUAACAAAAUAGAUAAAAAAAAAAGAACUGGGGAUAUUAAUAUAUAUUAUGAUGUUAUGUGAUUUCUUGGUAUCCUAAAUAUAUGAUUAAUGAUUCAAGUUGGUGAGUUGAGAAAGAAAUGGUUGAAUCAAACUAAUUCCUUUUUUGAAGUUCAAUUUCUAUCAGAGGACAAUAUGAAUGUUAUACCAUGUUACAUUAAAACACUCAAGGGGUUAUAUGAUAUAUCGGGUGUAGAAGUAGGCCAAUAUUCACAUACACAUAGGGUUUACAAAUCCAUGCCAAGUACUUAUCACUUCUUGGGUCGUAAUUGCUAUCUUGUUAGGUUCAGUCAUCAUAGCUGUUCGGAAUCCACAAACCAUUCCGACCGACGGUCAGAAUUUCUUUGAAUAUGUCCUUGAAUUUAUUCGAGACUUGAGCAAAACCCAGAUUGGAGAAGAAUAUGGACCUUGGGUUCCCUUUAUUGGAACUAUGUUCCUAUUUAUUUUGUUUCUAAUUGGUCAGGUGCUCUUUUACCUUGGAAAAUCAUACAUUUACCUCAUGGGGAGUUAGCUGCGCCCACGAAUGAUAUAAAUACUACUGUUGCUUUAGCUUUACCCACGUCAGUGGCAUAUUUUUAUGCGGGUCUUACCAAAAAAGGAUUGGGUUAUUUCGAGAAAUACAUCAAACCAACUCCAAUACUUUUACCAAUUAACAUCCUAGAAGAUUUCACAAAACCUUUAUCUCUUAGCUUUCGACUAUUCGGGAAUAUAUUGGCUGAUGAAUUAGUAGUUGUUGUUCUUGUUUCUUUAGUCCCUUCAGUAGUUCCUAUACCUGUCAUGUUUCUUGGAUUAUUUACAAGUGGUAUUCAAGCUCUUAUUUUUGCAACGUUGGCCGCGGCUUAUAUAGGCGAAUCCAUGGAGGGUCAUCAUUGACUAGUUUCGAAAUAGUCUUUUUUUUUAGCUUAUCCCAAUUCAUGCAUGGUUCAAGAUAAUCUGCUUGGUUGGAGAACAUAAUAGAUAUAAAUACGUAUGAAGAUAUGACCUAGAGUCGUAGGAGAGAAGAUGAACGAUAUUACGGAAUUGUAAAAAAAAAAAUGGGUUGGGGAGGUCAACUAGAUGUAUGUAAUGUCUAUAAGUCCAGCCACUUUUUUGUGGGUUUCAAGGAAUGAUUCUAUAAUCCGAUUCAAUAUAAAAUGCGGCCAGUUACGUUAUGGAAGAAAGAAAUGUAUAUGUAAUAUGUAUAUGCAAUAUUAGAUAUUCACUAGUUAUAUAGUCCUAUCUAUAUAUAAAUAUAAGUCCUUAUACCCUACCUUAUACCCUACCUAUAUACUAACUAACUAUAUAUAUCUAACUAUAUGCUAUACAUAAUAAAUAUAUAUAUAGUUAGUUAUAGCAAAAUAAAAAAUAUAUAUAUAUGUAUUGAUAUACAUAUUGAUAUCGUUAUAUUGAUAUAUUGAUUCGUUGAUAUCGAUCAUAUUGAUAUCCAUUGCAUAUAUUGAUGAUUGCAUAUAUUGAUUUGAUUGCAGUUUACUGCAUUUAGAUUAGAUGGAUUACAAGAUAAGUCAAGUCCUUUCUUCUGUUUCAUUUGUGAUUGUGGAUUGGAUGAAAAAACAGAUGAACUCAAGGAUAUAGAAGAGUAAAGAACGAAGGAUUGAAUGAAAGAAUGGUUGGAAAGAAAGAAAUGCAAUAACUAGAACCGUAUGUAUAUGGAUUUACAAAAACUUCAUCAUGGGUAGAAACUAAAAACGAGAUAUCGAAGUAGUUCUGACGAGUCAGUAAUAUUAUCAUUAGUUUUUAGUUACUUCGACCCAAUAGAUCUUAAUGAUCAAACUUAAUGAUAAAAUUAAGUAAUAAUUCAUUGGUCGAUUGUAUCAUUAACCAUUUCUUUUUUCUUUUUUUGGUGCGAGGAACUUACCAUGAAUCCACUGAUUUCUGCCGCUUCCGUUAUUGCUGCUGGAUUGGCUGUAGGACUUGCUUCUAUUGGACCUGGAGUUGGUCAAGGUACUGCUGCAGGCCAAGCUGUAGAGGGUAUUGCGAGACAACCAGAAGCAGAGGGUAAUAACGAGGUACUUUAUUGCUUAGUCUAGCUUUUAUGGAAGCUUUAACAAUUUACGGACUGGUUGUGGCAUUAGCGCUUUUAUUUGCGAAUCCUUUUGUUUAAUCCUAGAAAUGUAAAAAAGUACCUUAGAUUACAUACUCUUUUUACUUUUUUUCUUAUUUUAUUAACUUGAAAUUAAAUUGCCGUUUCCUUCUUCGAAUUAUAUCAACACUUUACUCCUAUAAUUACUUAUUUGUUGAGACUCCAGGAAGGACUGCUUUGAGGAUGAGGAAUUACCAGAUCACUCGCUUUCUUCCUUCCCGUCUUAGUUAGUACAAUGGAAACUUUUUUCCUUUUAGGAAACGUUUCCACAAACGAUAUAUUUCGCAUUGAAAUGAGACCUAAGACCUACCUAAAUGAAAUUACUAGAUUUAAUCUAUUCCCAUUAAAAAGGGGGAAAUUCAAUUAAAAAUAAUAAAAUGAUCAAAAAAGAAAGGGCGAGCGAAGUGAUAGAAAAAGAACUUGUUCUUUGUCAGUCCUAUCUAUAAGAGGAGAGCAUAUGAAAAAUGUACCGAUUCUUUCGUUUUCUCACGCCACUGGCCAUCCGCCGGGAGUUGGGUUUAAUACCGAUAUUUUAGCAACAAAUCCAAUAAAUCUAAGUGUAGUGAUUGGUGUAUUGAUUUUUUUUGGAAAGGGAGUGUGUGCGGGUUGUGAUUUCAAGAAUAGGUUGGAUCCAUCCGGCUGCACUUUACUUUAUUUAUAGUUAUUUAUAGUUAUAGUAUAUUUAGGAUAAAUAGGAAAAAAGGUGCACGAUCUCGACGAAUUACUUCUGAAUAAAUUCAAAAAUCAUAUGUAAGAACCAUAGCAUUUCGUGACUUAUUGGUAAAUCAACUUUGAUUCUCUAUCAACCAAUAUGUGAGACCAUUAACAUGGUUAAAGCUAAACUGUUUGAAGUCCAGGCAAAACAUGGUCUCUUCUACGACUACAUUAGUACUGAAAUGUUUUCCAAAUGAAUAGUUGGUAAUUUAUCUGAUAUAGAACACUCAUAUCGAUAAAAGGAUUUGAACCAUUUACUAGAAAGAAAAGGCACUCUGCCUUUUUUAUCCAAUGCCGAAUCGACGACCUAUGUAUAAAAAAAGAGGAAUUUUUGGAUUUGAAAGAAAAAGAAAAAAUCUAAUUCCAAAUUAGAAAUUUUUUAAAUUUAUUUAAUUAAAUAAAAAAGAAAUUUAAUUAAAUUAAGAACAAAUACAAAUAAAGAAACAACUUUGCUGACAUUAUCGAUUUUUAUCUGGUCGGAAGAGUCCUCCUAAUAUUUAUUCUGGUCUUGUAUCAGUUUAGAUAUCUUUGAAUACAAACAGAAAAGAAAAGAGAGGCAGGCUCAUUACAUUAAAAAAAAAAGAUAUGGGAAUACCCAUAACAAAAAAAUCAAAUAAAUAAUUGAGCGUGAGAGCCAAAUGAAUCGAAAGAUUCAUGUUUGGUUCGGGAAGAGAUCAUGAAAGUUGUGAAAUUAAUGGUAAGAUAAUCUACUUUCAUUAAAUGAUUUAUUAGAUAAUCGAAAACAGAGGAUCUUGAGUACUAUUCGAAAUUCAGAAGAAUUACGUAGAGGGGCCAUUGAGCAGCUCGAAAAAGCCCGGGUUCGCUUACAGAAAGUGGAACUGGAAGCAGAUGAGUAUCGAAUGAAUGGAUACUCUGAGAUAGAACGAGAAAAAGAAAAUUUGAUUAAAGCUACUUGUGAUAGUUUGGAACGAUUAGAAAAUUACAAAAAUGAAACCCUUCAUUUUGAACAACAAAGAGCGAUAAAUCAAGUCCGACAACGAGUUUUCCAACAAGCCUUACAAGGAGCUCUAGGAACUCUGAAUAGUUGUUUGAAUACCGAGUUACAUUUCCGUGCGAUCCGUACUAAUAUUGGCAUUCUUGGGGCCAUGGAAGAAAUAACUGAUUAGCCCUUCCACUUUUACUUUAGUUUACAAUUUAGGCAUUAUUUUUUUCCCUUUGCUUCCGAAAAAGAAUAAAGAAACACUAAUGGUAACCACCGGUACCGUACUUCAAGUAGGCGACGGCAUUGCUCGUAUUCAUGGUCUUGAUGAAGUAAUGGCAGGUGAAUUAGUAGAAUUUGAAGAGGGUACAAUAGGCAUUGCUCUGAACUUGGAAUCCAAUAAUGUUGGCGUUGUAUUAAUGGGUGAUGGUUUGAUGAUACAAGAGGGAAGUUCUGUAAAAGCAACAGGAAGAAUUGCUCAGAUACCUGUGAGUGAGGCUUAUUUGGGUCGUGUUAUAAAUGCUUUGGCUACACCUAUUGAUGGGAGAGGGGAAAUUUCAGCUUCUGAAUCUCGGUUAAUUGAAUCCCCUGCCCCCGGUAUUAUUUCGAGACGUUCUGUAUAUGAGCCCCUUCAAACAGGGCUUAUUGCUAUUGAUUCGAUGAUCCCUAUAGGACGCGGUCAGCGAGAAUUAAUUAUUGGGGACAGACAGACCGGCAAAACAGCAGUAGCCACAGAUACGAUUCUCAAUCAAAAAGGGCAAAAUGUAAUAUGUGUUUAUGUAGCUAUCGGUCAAAAAGCAUCUUCUGUGGCUCAGGUAGUGACUACUUUCCAGGAGCGAGGGGCCAUGGAAUACACUAUUGUCGUAGCUGAAACGGCGGAUUCACCUGCUACAUUACAAUACCUCGCCCCUUAUACGGGAGCAGCUUUGGCUGAAUAUUUUAUGUACCGUGAACGACAUACUUUAAUAAUUUAUGAUGAUCUCUCCAAACAGGCACAAGCUUAUCGCCAAAUGUCUCUUCUAUUAAGAAGACCUCCCGGUCGUGAAGCUUGAGUAUUCUAUAGUGUCACCUAAAUAGCUUGGCUUUUGGAAAGAGCCGCUAAAUCAAGUUCUAGUUUAGGUGAAGGAAGUAUGACUGCUUUACCAAUAGUUGAGACUCAAUCUGGAGACGUUUCAGCUUAUAUUCCUACUAAUGUAAUUUCCAUUACAGAUGGACAAAUAUUCUUAUCCGCCGAUCUAUUCAAUGCUGGAAUCCGACCUGCUAUUAAUGUGGGUAUUUCUGUUUCCAGAGUAGGAUCCGCAGCUCAAAUUAAAGCCAUGAAACAGGUAGCUGGCAAAUCAAAAUUGGAACUAGCGCAAUUCGCAGAGUUAGAAGCCUUUGCACAAUUUGCUUCUGAUCUCGAUAAAGCUACUCAGAAUCAAUUGGCAAGAGGUCAACGAUUACGUGAGUUGCUUAAACAAUCCCAAUCAGACCCUCUCACGGUGGAAGAGCAGAUAGCUACUAUUUAUACCGGAGCGAAUGGAUAUCUUGAUCCGUUAGAAAUUGGACAGGUAAAGAAAUUUCUUGUUCAGUUACGUACUUACUUAAAAAAGAAUAAACCUCAAUUCCAAGAAAUUCUAUCUUCUACCAAGACAUUCACCGAGCAAGCAGAAGCCGUUUUGAAGGAAGCUAUUCAGGAACAGAUCGAACUAUUUCUACUUCAGGAACAACCAUAAAUUUAUCAUACUUAUUCUUAGCAUGAGAGUAAUCAUUGAGAAAAAUUUCUGAUUUGAAUCAUUCAAAAAGGGUUUCUUAGUAUAGACAUUUAAGAAAAUAGAUGGAAAAAAAAUUGCGUCCAAUAGGAUUUGAACCUAUACCAAAGGUUUAGAAGACCUCUGUCCUAUCCAUUAGACAAUGGACGCUUUUCAUUUCUAUUUUCUUCUUUCGUAUUCUUACUUUACUCUUGUUCAAAUAAAAAACGAUUAUAUGGAAAAUAUAUCUUUUCGGGAAAAAAGGAUGCAUAUCCAAAUUGAUGACGCAUAUACAAUAAUGAAUAUGGAGCGGGUAGCGGGAAUCGAACCCGCAUCGUUAGCUUGGAAGGCUAGGGGUUAUAGUCGACGUUGGUUGAUCAUUUUUAACGUCUCUAAUUCAAAACCGAACAUGAAAUUUUGGUUUCAUUCGGCUCCUUUAUGGAAGGUCCAUAUAUUUCCAGAGAAAAAAUUAGAUCCAUAACAUCUAUGUCAGCUUUUCUGUAUGAAUGCAUCUAAAGCUACUCGCUUUCUAGAUGAUCCCUCUAGAGGAGAGAGAUUAUACCAAAUCUAUCUAGUCUAGUUACUUCGUUCCCUAUUUUCACUCCCAGGAUCCUCAGGAAAAGAAUUUGGUUUCUACCGAGCUGAAACAAUAUGCUGAUGGUUCUAGUAAACCAAAACUAUCGUUUUUUAGCUAUUUGGCUUCAAUUUCCUUUUACAACACAAAAAUGGAAGAUCUAGUUACGAUUGGAAAUAAACUUUUGUAUCUUCAUCCAUAGACCCUUUACCUAUACUUAUUCAAUUGGAAUAGUUAAUCCAAUUCAAAAAAUUAUGCUUCGCGAAUCCAUAUCCAUAAUCCAAUUUUUUGAUGCAAUUCCUAAUUGGCCUUUGGAUACAAAUCGUGAGAACGUAUAUUUUUCCUCAAAUAUGCUAUUGAGAGGAAAAGGAUUAAACCUUUUUAAGAAAUAAAGUUUUUGAUCGGAGUUUGAAAAAAAAAACCGAUGGACCCCUUAACUAUUUUAGUUGUUAAUAGAACGAAUCACACUUUUACCACUAAACUAUAUAUAUAUAUAUAUAUAUAAAGUUUAAAUAUGUAUUUUUAUUUUUGUAACUGGUGUUGUUGAUUUCCCUUGUGUUUGUUCUCAGUAGCUUGGUUUUUUUUAUUUUUUUGACAGAUAAGUAUUAUGCUAUCCGCUUCGUUUAUUUCAUUUAAAAAUAAACAUAGCUGAAAAUGUGAAUCAAAUAAGAUUUGAACUUGGGUCUCUGGUACCAACCACCAAGCCGUAUUUCCAGUAGCUUUGUUGUAUGAGUUAUUAAUGUAAUAAAGCAAAUCAUCGUAAAUACGUACGUACCACUCAAUAAUUCUGUACUUAGGUCGAUGUAAUAUGUGAAAUAUUUAUUCCGUUUAGUUUAUUGUAAUCUGCAUCAGUAAAAUAAUAAUAAUAAAAAAAAAGUGGAUUAGGAAGUAAGUUUAUUUACAUUUGUGGAUUGUUUACAGUUUCUUUAUUUAAUCAUCAAAUAAACCAAUAUUUAAUUACUUUUUCUUUUUUUUUUCUGGGAUUGGUUGUCUAAAUUUAUGCUUUAUAUAUAUAUAUAUUAUUGAUUUUACCAUAAACCGCAUAAUCACUUUUUAAAUUGUGCACCAUGUUAAGAUAUAGGCUCAAAGCAUGAAUCAUAUUAGGCUAAACCCGAGAGACGUGAUGAUAAUUGUGGANAUAUAUAUAUAGAGUUGAGCUGGAAUACUAUCGGUAGCAAACGGGCUCCGUUGCCACCCAUUUGUUUUCGAUGAUGGAGCCUCCGAAUCGAUGAUCGACACCGUUGAACAUGAUCUAUACCACUUGAAGCAUAUAGAAAUCAAAUUUCAUGCUUUUCCGAUAUUAUUUUCUUGUCUAUCAAGUGGAGACAAAAUGAACGGCUGAAAAUGAAUAUUCUUCAAAAAAUGAUGAUAGAAAUCUUGUAAUCAAGAUCGAGAGUAUAGAUCUUAUUCUAAAUAGUUUAAAAAAUUUUCUAACCAAAAUUCAAUUGAUUUGGAUAUCUUUACACCGUUAAACGAGAAAACGCCUCAUAUCGACCAUUAAAAUUACAAAUUUUGAAACUCUUUGAUCAUUAGGUCAAUGAUGUCCAAAAGAUUUGAAAUUUGAUUUCUAGAUACUUCAAGUGGUAUAGAUAACGUUCAACGGUGCCGAUCGUCGAUUUGAAGACUCCAUCAUCGAAAACAAAUGGGUGGCAAUGGAGCCCGUUUGCUACCGAUAGUAUUCUAGCUCAACACUAUAUAUAUAUAUAUAUAUAUAUAGAACUAGGCUUGAAUACUAUUAAUAGCACCAAUGACUUGGUGCUAUUAAGUUUUCUGCUCUUGGAUUAAAAGAUGUGCGGUUAGGAUGAUGUGGGCCCCCUAGGGUUGAGUGGGUGGUUGGUUGAAUAGUAUAAUCCAACGGAUGAAAAUGAUAAAAGAGGUAGAUCAAACGGCAGAAAACUUGAUAGCACUAAAUACUUUGUGCUAUCGAUAGUAUCCCAGCCGGACUCUCUCUCUCUCGAUAUAUAUAUAUAUAUAUAUAUAUAUAUAUAUAUAUAUAUAUAUAUAUAUUGUUUUUGCUUUAAUCUUGUUUUUAUCUUUUUGAUAGAGGACUACUUUGUUUAACUAUGUUACCCUAAUUAAUAAAAAGGCUACUGAUUCCUAUAUUUCUCCUGUUUGUAUCCUCAAUAAACUAGGGCUCUCUCUCUCUCUCUCUUUCUCUCUCGCUCAACUAUACACGCGCUUCUCCGUCGCGUGCGUAAUCUCUCUCUCUCGUUCUUGCACGCGCCCACUAAGGCCUUUGUUUCUCAUUCUCCGAUGUCGACACUGCUGCUACACUUCUUCAUUGUUGGUGCCAUUUCGUUUGUUACCAACGUCAUUCUGUUUGGUGAAGGCACCUUGUUCACUGUCGCUUCCUUCAUCAUCAUCUAAAGGUUUUCUAUUUUGUUCUCUUUAUCUUUUUUGCAUAUUUUUGAAAGUAUCAUUCUCUUGAUAGGUUUUAGAUCUAAAAACUAUUUUAAAAAAUAAUAAUAAAUCUGACAUUUAAGUUAAAAUAUUGAUCUUGAAUCAAUAAAGUUCUUAAAAUUGUUUGAACCUCUGUACACCCAUUAGAUUCCAAUAUAUAGAUUUCUUGUAUUCAUAUGUUAUUUGGAAUUCAUACGAAGUGUUUGACUAAAUGUGUAAGAGAAUAAAUAUAAAUUUUGCUUCCGAAUUUGGCCUAAUCGGAUUACAAUUAGUAGACGUUUGUUCCUAUCUGAAAAUUAUUCUUUCGAGUAUUUGAACCUUCGGUUUAAUUUUUUGAAUCCUAUUCAUGUUCCACUACUUUUUUGAAUAAUAUAGUCCAUAGAAUUCUUCCUUUUGAUUGAUAGUUGAGAUUCCUCAACUUAUUAUGUUCAAAGUCUUUUUCCUAUAUGAGAUUGGCCUUUUAGCAACUAAUUAAGACUCGUGCUAAUAUCUAGUUGAGUCUAUCCAAAUUAUGUUGUUGGGUAACGUCAUGUUUCUUAUGAAGUAAUUAGUCCUAUGUCAGAGGGAUUCGACGUCUUUUCGGGUAUUGUUUGGUUGGGGAGCUAUAGGGGGAAUAAAGGGUUAUCCCCCUUUUGUUCCUUAAACAAGAAUUGAGCUAAGGUGCACCCCUGGGUGGAAUUACGCUAUUCCACCCUCGUUCCUCUCGCGCAACUUUUGCCCUUUCCUCUCUCCGAAGCUCUCCUUCCCUUUUCCUCUUCGUCUUCCCUCGCAGUUUACUGUACUCCUCCGAUCGGCUAGGUUUUUCCAUUCUUCAGCUGAUCUGGUGCCACCGGAUCUCCUACAUCUCAGCUAUGACUACCUUCUCUUCCUCCGAAGCAUGCCUUUGCCUCUCCUCCCUCGCCCUCGGCUUCUUCCUACUUCUCGGGUUGCCGUACAGCCGCGAUCGGCUUGAUUUUGGGCCUUUCAAUUGAACCGUAGACAUCGGAUGUACUAGAUCUGGAUCUAUUUUACACAAGUGAAACCCUUGUGUGCAGGUUCGCCUUGCUUCCUCUUCCUAUGACGCCCUCCACCUGUGCAAGACCCUCUCUGUGGCCUUGCAUCUCUCCGAAGCUCUGCUCUUACUUUCCUCCAUCCCUCACUGCUUCUUGCUGUUGAUUGAGUUGUCGUACGACUGAGCUCCUCAGCCGCUUCCUCCCUUCGGCCGAUCCCUAGGUGCAAAUCUCGUAGAUCUGAUUCUAUUCGCUUAAGUUUUGUAAAUUUUGCAGGUAAUUUUUUUUGGCAGCAUCGUCACUUCAUCUUGAAGCCCCUAUUGUUUUACGGGUAGAAAGCCAUAGGGUCUGGAUCUCCCAGAUCCUGCUUAAUCUUUGUGCGGCCUACGCAAGAUCAUCUUCGUGCCUCCCCUGUUUAAGGUGUCCCGAUCCGCUUGCAUAAGGUUUGGUAACCAAGGUUUCAUUGCUCAUACUUAUGUUUGCUCUAACCUUUUAUCCUUGGAGGAUAUAUUAUUUACUCAUUUGCAUGAUAAUAUUGUAAGGAACUAUAUCCUAUCUUCAUUCAUGGUCACUCUAUGUCGUCCCUAAUAUUGUGAACCCUGUGCUAGCAUGUUGGAUUUUAACUGUGAUAUGUAUGAUUGCCGAAAAGUAAGACAGUGUGUGGAAUUGAAAAUAGUAUUUUGUAUGGCAAUGAAGGUUGCGAAAGAUGAUUUUGGCGAUGAUGACGAUUUCCAGAAGCAUUUGAUGGAUGGCAUGGAUCUACAAUUCAAAGCACCCCGAUGCUUCUUGGAAACCACUUUGAGCCGCAUGACCCAAAAGACCACCAUAAGAUGCAGAUUUAUGUCUCAUUAAAAUCUCUUCCUAGUGCAUCCUUCGUCUGUAAUUAGUUCUAGUUGUCAUAUGGCUUCACUUGUAUUUCAUUAUAAUAAGUUGCUACUACUUCAGUAUUGGAAAUAGUCUUGCUAGUGUUUGGACAUAGUCAAACAUAUAUUUGCUUAGCUGCUGCUACAUGUAUAGUUCCCUUGCCAUCUUUAUUAGCUUCUUGACCGUAAUGUAUGUCUAAUGUUGUGUGCUUGCUGCGUACACAUAUUUAAUUGUGUCAAUCCACAUGAAUGGUUUUUGGUGAAGUGCUUUCUUGAACUACAGAUGCCUCCUGUCAAGAAACCAUCUAAGUAUGUUCAUAAGAAAGGUGUGGUGUUCGAAAUCCCACCAACUGAAAAUUUACAGAUUGAUGAUAGUAGCAGAUUGCAUAACCAAACUUGGAAGCAAACUCAAAAUUGGACCAACAGUUUAGAUGCAAGUAUGCUAAGUCAGCUGACAAAAGAACACGCUUUAGGAAACUACACCAAUGGGUCUUUCACAAACGUUGUGUGGACUAGGAUAAUAACCGAUUUCAACUCUAGGAACAAUAUGAACCUGACAAGGGAGCAAAUAAAGAAUCGGCUUAAAGUUCUAAAAAGAACUUUUAUGCUGUACAACUGUCUUGAAAAUAAGAGCGGGUGAGGAUGGGAUUAUGUCUACAACAUUCCCACGGUUGGUGACGUAAGUGACUGGGAUGCAAUAAUUGCAGUACAAUUUAACGACUUUCAUUUCAACUUAUUAUUACACUAGAUUCUUUCUUUCAUUUCCAUAAUUAUAAUAAUCUUUAUUUAGGAGAAUCCGGCGUAUGCAAAGUGUAGGGAUAAACCCUUUCCAGCCUAUAAGGACAUUGCAUUCCUUACUUCAAAGACAAUGGCUAUAGAAAGAUAUGGUUUUUUGUUAGGAAUGGCGCCAGCCCCUACGAUAGAUAGCUCAUCCUCAUCGUCUCCUGGUGAGGAUGAAAGUAUACUUGGAGAGAGAAUGUCUGCAUUCAAUCUUUCACCUACUCCCAUCGAAUAAGGGUCAACUGGCUCAGCUUUCAAUGCCAAUCCCUGAAGAAAUAAUACCUCACGAUCCACUAGCCCUACCGCUGCUCCCACCACUGCACGAGCAAGUGCUAGUGGCUCUGGCCACUCCUUUGGUGGGAAAAGGCCUCAUUCCCCACAACAUGCCAAUCCUCCACGGAAACAAGCAUCGUCAUCUAGAAGACGAAGCAAAAAAAGUGAAACCGCAAGUGACGCGGUAGUAGAGAUGGUAGAACUUGGUAAACAAAAGCUAGAUCUAGUACGACAAAUUUACCAUAGUGAGGUCGGCAAUCGAGCAAGCAUCCCUUCGAUCGAUACGUGCAUGACAAGUGUGUAUAAUCUACUUGGGAUGACAAAUGAGCGAAUUUUGGCAGCAGGUGAUGCGUUAAGAGACGACAAGAAUCGUCAAGUUUUUAUGACUAUGAAUGAUAAGGUAGCAUGAAUGUGGGUUGACCGGCAAGUUGCACUGCAAAAUGUUUUAUACAAGCAAUAAUUUCCUGGCAUGUAGAGCAAGGGUUAAAUGUUGAUGGACGUUACUUACUACUUAUGUUUAGUUAUUUUUGCAUUAAUCUUUGCAUGUAUCUGAUGUUUUAGUACUAUUUAUGUAAUCGUAAGCUUUAGACAUGUCUUUACUUACAUGUAAUGCUUAUCUUUCACAUAAUGGUAGAUCGCAUUGCUAAGGUAAAGAAUUUUCAUAUAUUAUGUUUUAUUUAGUUCUUUACUACAUGUUAAUUAUGUGAGUUAUGUUCUUUUUACUUCAUGCAUCGCGAAUACAUGUCAAGCAAUGUAACUAUAUACAUGAUUCUAAUGUUGUGGUGAUGAAUAUGAAUUUCUUGCAGCAGUGAUGGGUGAGUUUUUAUAUUCCACUGUGUUUUCUUCCCUAGUCAUAAGCAAUCCAAUGACAAUAUUAGAUGAAGCUGAUGACUAUUGGGAUCAAGUAUUCGUAAUGCUCAUUGACCAAGGAUACUUGACAUAUAGUAAUACGUAUAAUAAGCGACAAUGUCUUACGAGGCCUUUUACUGGCCAUCAAUUGAUUUGUGAUAUCUUGAAUGGUCAUCCUGAUCGUGGGUACAAUCAUUUUUGAAUGACGACCAUUGCAUUCAUUGCUCUCUGCAAUGAGCUUGUCGGAAGAGAGUUGAUAAAUAGCACAAGGAAUAUGACUGCUGACGAACAGUUAGCAAUUUUUCUUUUUUGCGUAGGGCAUGGGGUUGCAAAUAGGAUGUUGGCAGAAACUUUUCAACAUUCAGGAGAAACUAUUAGUCGACAUUUCAACAAUGUGCUCUAUGGAAUUGUGAUACUGAAAGAUUAUUACGUAACUUUGCCACCGAGUAAUGCUGCAAUGCAUCCAAGAAUUAGGAAUAAUUUUAAUUUUCAUCCUUUCAAGGUAAAGUAGAAGUAAUAUAUUAUCUUGGUCUGCUUGUUAUCUAUUAUUUGUUAUGAAUUGAUUAGUAUGUUGUUGGAUGAUUUGUAUAAUGCAAUAGGUGCGGUGGACGGUACGCAUAUUCCGGUAGUUGUCCGAAAGAGCAAGCAACCACGAUUUCAGUGUCACAAGGGUUUACAUCGCAAAAUAUGAUGGUUGUUGUAUUAUUUGAUCAUAUAUUUCUAUUUGUAUGUACAUGAUGAGAAGGUUCAGCGGUUGAUACUAGAGUACUAAGAUAGGCUUGUAAAAGUGGAGGUUUUACUAUCCCUGAAGUAUGUACCACAUAUUUGCUUCAUAUAUUAUAAUGUAAAUACUUAUGAAUGAUCAUACAUUAUUAUUGAGACUUGCAUUUGUCGACAAUGUUCGCAGGGAAAUAUUACUUGGUAGAUUUUGGAUAUGCAAAUAUAGAUAAAUUCCUUGUGCCAUAUCGCAGAGAGAGAUACCAUCUUAGUCAAUUUGAUGGUAAUACACGUGGCCGCACACAUCGAAGUCCGUGGGACUUUAUAAUCAUCGACAUGCUCAAUUAAGAAAUGUUGUAGAGAAGACUUUCGGCAUCUUGAAGAAGCAUUUCAAGAUCCUAAAUCAUGCAACUCCAUUCCCCUAUAAAGUGCAAUGUCUGAUUGGUAUGGCAUGUUGUGUGAUGCACAACUUUAUUCGACGACACCAAGAAAUGAUAGAUAUUUUACUGAAAACCUUGACCCAUUGUCUUCAGAGGAUGAAAAGGAAGACCCGAGCGAUUUCGGCGGCACAUCGGACUCAUGCAGGGGUGACGAUCUUCGAACUAGUAUCACAGACCAAUUAUGGAAUAGUAGAAGUUAAUUAUUUAAACUGUCGGUUGUAAUGAAUUAUAUUAAAUGGGUUUGCACCCAACUGUGAUAAUGAUAUGUGAUUGCAUGGUAUAUUUAGACAUGUAUUUCUUUGCUUGCAGGUAUCCGUCUUGAGUGGUACACUUUGUAAUGUACAUAUUGGAAUAUUUUUAUGUCAACAUGCUUUAUUGUAAAUGUCUGGUACCGUUUGUAAUAUAUGGUUUGUUGUGGAUAUUACUAAAUUAUGCUAAACUCACAAAUGUUUGGAAUUUUCAUAUAUUGUUGCUUCCAUUAUGAUGAUAUUGUGUGCUUCAUUACUUAUAUGAGUUUCUGUACAAUUUAGACAUUUUGCACAUGGGAUACUUGUUAUUUACAAGUGGGCUUACGAGAUUUAAAAAUUUCAAUACAAUACAACAAUGUUAACAACCUUAAUUUCGUUGUAGUUAAUUAUUUGCUCACAUGAUUGUAAACCUUAUUGCAGUGUUAUUAAAUAUAUUUAUUUAUAAGGCAAAUUUAUUUUAAUAUUGGCAGAAUAAAUAUUGAAAUAAAAUUUAUGUUUAAUUUUAUAAUAUAUUAAUUUAUUGAACUAUUUAUCCUAUCAAAUUAAAUCAAACUAUAUUUAUAUUUAAUUAUACAUUCACAUUUUGCUUAUAUAGCAUAAUAAGCACGAGGAGUAAUAUCAUCAUUUUAACUUUUAACUAUCUUCUAUUCUUCUUAUUCUAUCUUAUACAUCCAAACACUAUUUUUCUUAUACCUGGUACAAACCUAAUACUCAUCCAAACACAAAAUCACAAAAGUUCUAGCUCGUUCUAGCAUUUAUACCUAUCCCUAGAAUAAGAAGUUCUAGCUUAUACCCGAACCAAACGGUAACUUAGAGACUCGAUCGGAACCUAGUAAAGCUUUGAUUAUUUUUGUGUUUCGUUCUUGUAAUGAUAUUUUGUUCCUUAUGUUAGGUUUCGUGGAAUUAAUUUGAUAUCCGACGUUUGACCGAACGACACUCGGAUUAAUUGAAGGUAAGUGACUUAACAGCCGUUAGUUUUUUGGCAAAAUUAUAUAAAUAUGUUACGGUAACAAAAAUCCCUUUUGUCUAGUUCUUUCUCAAAAUAAGGGUUAAGUAUGUUUAUAUAAAUUACAAAUCGUUGAAAGAAUAUAAUUUCUAAAAGGUUUUGCACUGAUUGUUGUGCAAUAUUUGGUAAAAAUUUAGCAUUCGAAACUUGCUCUCUUUUAAAUGUUGAAUGGGUGAAUGACCUUAAAAUGUAGUCUCUUGGUAUUUUGCUUUAAUUAUGUUGGCCAUGUCGACAUGAAUUUUGUGAUAGAGGCUAACUUUGAUUUAUGAUGCACCACUAAGUGCAAUUUUGUCACGCCUCUUCAGGUGCAAUUUUGUGAUGCACCUUCUGGUGCUAUUUAGAUGACUUUCAGAUGAUUUUGCUUUGCAAUCGUGCCUUCGGGUGUCUGUGAUGUGUGUUUAGGACCUUUGCCAAUAGGUCGCUAGAGACUUUCGGUUCAAAUUCUAAUUUUAAAAUAAGAAUGGUUUUGUUUAAAUUACAUUUCUCUUUGUUCCUUUGUGAAAUACACUUGUUAUAAGACUCAAUAAUUCAAAAUUGAGAUUUUUGAAUUUUGCUAAACUCAGUCGUCGCUAUUUUUUAUAACAAAGUUAUAUUUGAAUAUUUAGAAAAUAUUUUAUUUGCAUUCUUAAUCCAAAUAAUAUGGUGUAUGGUUGCUUACCAAGGUAUGGAGUAUGUGGUGAUGGGACCGAGUGAUCACUAAAUGCUAAGAUUCUUUUGUUUCUGAAUUAUUGUUAAUAAAAUUAGAUUGUUUAGUUUAAAGUUUAAUUUGUGACUAACAUAAAAUAUAUUUGCUUGGUUAGAAUUGUUGCAAAAUGUUGUGAACUUAGUUGAGUAUUUGUGAAACUUUCAGCCAUAAAUUUAAUUGUGAAUUCAAAUCUGAAAAGUAUUUAAUUUGAUUUAGUGAUAGACUAUUUUUGCCCGAUAUCUACAUAUUUUGUUGCCCUGCAUGUUUGUGAUUGAAUAAUUACAGAUAUGCGGUUUUUGUUAUGUCUCGGGUUUAGGGCAUGACAGGCGCAUGCAAAGAGAUAAACACGACAAAAAUGAAAAUGCUUUGAAAUCACGAGCUCAAAAUAGGAUUCUAUCUAAUAAGGAUGUUCCAGCAAAAAUUAUUCAUAAAAACGCAGCACAGAUAUAAACGUAUACCGAUAAUAAGUCUUAGUGAAAAAGAACCAAACAAGAAUAUUUAACUCAUUCAAGUUAACAAAAUACACACUCCUAAUAAAACAUAAGAACCAUUUAACAAUAUAUUAAAAGUGGGAUGAAAAAAGAAACUAUACCUCACAAUGAUAAUAAUUAUGAAAUUUUCUUCACAUAGAGGCCUCUUGCAAACCAACUACAAAAACCAACGACCAAUAGUCCUCAAUAAAAGAACAUUAACAGUCAAAUAAAAUAUUAACUGUAUCUAUUGUUUCUUAUUUGUUAUUUUCUAUUGGAAGUAUGUGUAAAAUUUGUAAUAUCCGAUAUUUUGACAAUGUAACUAAACCCUUUGUUGACGAUGUUUUUGUGUGUAAUGUAAUUACUUAAGCACUCGUCAAAUUUCAGGAGAAAACGAGUUAGGAUGGAGAAGUUAUGCGACCGGUACCAAUUACUUAAAGUGAAUAGUAACUCCAGUUUUCCGGAGAAGCCAAUGAAUGGAGAAGGCUUCUGGUGCGUAUUGGACUCCGAUCAUAGGGAUCCAAUAGCUCGUUUUCGACGGUUUGACUAUCCUAGACCUAAUGGCACUGACGGAUUUGGGUUCUGAUGCACGGUUUUUGAGAAAAAGGGGUUUGAUUGGAUUUAUAUAUAUAUAUGUGUGUAUAUAUAUGUGUUUUAUAGUGGAAACAAAGAGGGUUGAUUUCGUCGUGAAUCGGCGACCAAAUCGGACGAAGCGAAAUGCUAGAUUCGAUACCCCAAUCGUGCUGAACGCGCUGGCGCGAUUCGAUCGGAAAUCCGACGGACGGAUCUUCGGGAAUCUAGAAAUGUUCACUGAGGGAUCGAAUUGGCCAAAACGGAAAUUUCGCGAAAGGUCCAGUAUUUUAUGCACCGUUUUGCGCGAUUUCGAACGUCGAGGGGCUAGUGCGCAAGAUACACGCAUGGUAAAGGACUGGGUUGAGAAUUUUCAGAAAAAUGGGACUUUUUUGUAAUUAUACUACCUAGGUAUAAAUGCUGGUGCUAGGUUUUCACAAAGGAAACCCUAACACGAGUGCACCCUGCUACCAGCUAACCCUAGCCGUCGUUAGCUCGACCCUGCCCUUGUCGUGAGCGCGCCCUGGCUGCCGGAAAACCCGGCAGCACUUUCCUUUCAUCCCCUCUCGGCCACCCUCUCCUCCCUCUCGGCCGAGGUUUGCUGGAAAGCACUCGAAAGCCCUGGAAGCAUUUCCCUUGGCCGAGAUUUCCUCUUCGGCGCCAUCACCGGUCGUCCCUACCGUCAACACCGCCAGAGCCACCCAUGCAAGCCGCGGCCAGCCUGGGUCAGCUCGGGCCGAGCUGACUUCAGCUCGGGGCCCGUUUGUUGAAGCCACCUUAGCGUCGGUCCACAGCCCCGAUUCCCUCCAACCUCCGGCGACCUCACGACGCGCUCCCCGCGGUCCCCGCGCGCCCGCCGGCCACCGCUCGUGCACCCUGCAGGCCGCCCAGAUUUGUGUGGGCCGAGGCGGAGCUACCUCGGCCAUCGCGUGUCGCCGCCGCCACAGCGGGCGCAUCACUUUCUCCUCGGCCUCGGCGACGGAUCGCCGUCGCCCCGAGCUCCUCCGGCAGCCGCCUUGCCGCCGCGGACCUUGAACCAAGACAAGUUGCGGCUUGAUCUCCUCCGCCGCGCACCGGCUGCCGCCCGCCGUCGGCUAGCACCCGCCCCGGACCCCUCCGACCGGCCGCACCCGUCCCCGGCCGGAGCGCCCGCCGUCCGGCCGCCGGCGACCAUCCUCGGGCUCCACUGCUCCAGUAAGGCUGUGUUUAUAUUUCAGCACCUUAUUUUGGGGUUCCGGUCGCCUUUCCGGCGAUCCGAAGGCACCCCGAUAAAUGUGGAAGUGAGCACGAUGAUCUGGUUUCGUGCUGAACAUCGUGCUCACCUCCGUUGGGGUCAACGAUGCCCUAGUUAGCGACUUAGACGCGACAUAGGCACUGUGCGCGCUGUUUCACUGAGGUUCGCGUCGCUCGUGCGCCCGCCAAAGUGGCCGGCAGUACUCCGAAGGGUGAGCACGGCCUCCGGCACGCCGAGACCUGUCAGCAGGUGUCUCGGUUUGGCUGAUUGACCUCUGGUUUGCAUGGACGGACCAUAAAAGCCCACAAAUCACAUAAAAUAAUAUGAUUUCAUGGAAUCGGGAGGGCUUUUAUGCAAAUAUGCUUGUCGUGGUUACUAUUAGCAGCAUGUGUGGGCAGUGGGUAACCUCUGGACUUGUUGUGCAAGGCUCCAAGUCUUUCCGGAAAUCAAAUGUUGAUUUUCGGUGCGUUUUCGGCGAAAUUUGCCUACAGAACGCGAUUUUAGUUCGGAAUUCUUCCGACGGUGCCUCGGGAACUAUGGUUAUGUCGCUGAGCCUUGUUGGCUGGUCACCACGUCGUUUCGGAGGUUCGGAAACGACGGGUGAGCGACAGUGGGUUCCAGUGUCGAAAUCGACACUCCCGGGAACCCGGAUCGGAACGAUUAUCCGACGAUAAUCGUUUCGAUGUGAGGCGAUGUGUUCGCUGCCAAGAACCAUGGAUAAUGAUGUUUUGUGGCAGCGGGUGACUCGUAGUAUGAGUCAGCGAGUUCCGAGACAGUUAGUGGGUCCCGGCAGAGUUCCAGUGCGAUUUUCGGGACUCCCGGUGUUACAGCAGUCAGUUUUGAAAAACCGAUGCCCGUGGGGCUACUAGUGGGGAUUGUGAGUUAGUGGUACUUGUUAGCGGGUUAGAUUCUAACCCGGUGGACCUUUCGUAGGUCCGGUUGGUAUUUCCUCCGCAGGCGAAAGAUUCAUACAGUAUUAGUACAGGUGGGUACUUCGAUCCGAAGUCGGUACAGUGGUGCAUGCUCGGUGACGUUCUUUUAACCCCUUGUUGUUUAUAUUGCAUAUUAUAUCAGUUAAGCCUUGCACCCAUGUUGUUCCCGUAUUACUCUACUCAGUUGUUUCCAUGUUUAGUAUCAUGAGUAGGAGUAGAGUAGAUUUAUCUGCAUAUAAUAUCCGUGACCUGGUUGGUCGAUUUUCAUAUCUCGUAUCUGUGACCUGGUUGGUCGAUUUUCAUAUCUGGUAUCUGUGACCUGGUUGGUCGGUUUUCAUAUCUUGUAUCUGUGACUUGGUUGAUUUUCAUAUCUUGUAUCUGUGACCUGGUUGGUCAGUUCUCGUAUCUUGCAUAUGUGACCUGGUUGGUCCAUUGGACUCCUUGAUGACCUAUACGGUCGGUAUGCCCUGAGGGGCAGGAUUGUCGGCUGGUUGCCGACGUUGGCCAUUGAGCAUAUCAGCAUUGAUCGCCAGAUACUCGUCGCAUUUCACGAACACCAGCAGUCUAAUCCACCGCAAAAGGGUGUUCUUUUCCGGAAAAGUGGUUGCAGGUGCCAACCUGUGAGCCCAAGAGGGGUUAUAUGCAUGGUAGAGUGGCAGUGGUAUUGUCAGGAGGUCUGCGGUGCGGACCUCCAGGGCACAGGCUUGAGGUUUGCGGUGCGGACCAACAGAGCAUUGGUUUCAGAUUGGGUAUUUUUGGACUGGUCAUCCGAUUGAUGCAUGCAUACAGUAGCUGUAGUGUUUUAUAUAUAUACAUCUCGUUUACUUGUUUAUCAUAGCUACUGUACUACCAUUAUCUAUACCUUUGUUGUUCUCCGUGACUGGUGAGUACCCCUCGCCCUCGUCGGCUUGUGGUACCCACUGAGAGGGGAGACAUAUUUACAUGUUCUCACCCCCCGCCCCCAUUACAGGUGACGUUGCUGGUCCUAGUGGGACGGUUUGUGAGGAGCGCUUGUAGUGGUUCGUUAGAGCUUCCCGUCCCGUCAUUUCGUUUAAUUCCUUAAACUCCAGCUUUCUUCAAUAAAUUAGAUAAUUUAUAUGGUUCAACAUUUUAUUACAAUUGAAUUUGGGAUUUCAUGUAUGUAAUAAAGGAUUUAUGAAUUUUCGUGAAAUGGAAAUGGUCUUCUACCCCUCGUGGUAGCAAGGUUUUAAAAGGAAAAGGUUUCCGUGUGGGAAACAGUUUUAAAAAGGUUUUCUCGUGGUUUUUCGUGAUUUAGUAUUUCAAAACCAGUUUCCGGAUAGGAAACAUUUUAAACUAAUAGUCGUGGAUUUAUGAAUAACUCUGAAUGUGAAUGUGAAUGUGAAUGGUGUAGAUAUGUGUAUGUGCAUAUGUGUGGUUGUAUCGUGUAUGGCAAUUCUUAUACUUGUACUUAUGUGACGCCGUGCAAAUACAAGGGAGACUCUGUCCGUGUGAAUAAUGGACGCGGAUCUGGCAUACCUUGGGGGUCUGGAUUUUCAAAAAAAAAAAAAAAAAAAAAAAAAAAAAAAAAAAGGCACUUCCACUAUGGUUUUAAAUCAAAAUGGGACCUCGGGGCGUGACAAAAUUACUCUAUAUAAAUAAUAACAUUUGGAUCUUAGGGUUGUGAAGCCCAAAUCCUUCUCCAGUCGUUGUCUCUCAAAUGCAAUAGUAUCAAAGCACCAAAGAAGGGAUUUGGAAAAAAAAAUUCCAUCAUUACGAACAAGUGGAGAACCGAUUUGGACUUUCUUCACCGAUCAGGCCAACCCUUCCAUCCGUGUGCCUCUUUUCUUCACCGAUCAGGCCAACCCUUCCAUCCGUGUGCCUCUUUUCUUCACCGCGUUGCUGCUGCUGAUUCCCUCCCGCUGUUGUCUCCUUCAUCUGUUGUUGUGCUUCACCACCUGUUGCUACAUUUUUAUCUCUUGAAGCCUCAAUUCUUCAAGACCUGCUGCCAUCAUCUUCAAGCUUUUCCUGCUACUUCUAAGUUUCAAUGAGUAAAUUGUAAAGAGGAUUCGUUUUGCUUUAUAAUGUUUUGGAGGUGAAAAUGUUCAUCCAUAUUUUGCUGGUUGCAUUCUGAAAAUUAUGUUUGAAGAAGAAACAGGGCCCAAUGCGGUCUCAUUGAGUGGUCCAAUGAUGAGCACAGCUGUGAUGGAUAGCCUAUCUCUCCAAAUCAGCCCAAUCAAACUUGACAGUCAAAAUUAUUAAAAUGGAUGGAACGAUUAUAGUUUGUGAAUUAAUCGACAUGUAGUGAAAGUGUUGGGACAAGUCCGAAUUAAUUUUGAUGUGAAACUGAUGUCACAAUUAAUUCCAAACUAGGGAUUUAUUCUCAGCUAGAACACACUAGUUUGGUGAAGCUUGUGGCACAUUACACCAAAGCCAACCACCCCUAAUUGGGAAUUUGGAUUGUUGCAUCCAGUUGGUAGUUGGCCUCCCAUUCCCUCAUUCUUCUUCCUGUUCUUUUCCUUCUCCUUCUUCUCUUCCUCUCCCCGCUGUCCUCCUUCAUGCGCAGGCUGCCAGCAGCAUUCAGCUGCUGUCACCAGUAAGCAGCAACAGCAGGCAGUAGCAUCAGCUGGAACAACAGUAGCCCUGGUAGAAGUAGUGGCUGGUCAUUUCGAAAUUGGAGGUUCUACUUGUUGGGUUAGUCUUGCUGGUGUUCUUGGUGAAGGGAGAGGGCUCGAGAAUGUGUAAUUCCAGCUGGAAUUUUGGUAAGUUGCUUAAUAGCUGAAAUUGAUGUUUUAAGCUGAUUUUGGAUAGUUCCUGGAUUUUGAUGGAUUUCCUUUGAAUCCUUCUCUUAAGCUGCGCUUUGGAUGGGUUGGAGAUGGUCUUAACUUCAUCUAUCACUGGAUGGGAUCUUGUUUGAGCUGAAUCGGAGGUUAUUAGUGAGGGAGUUUUAAUUGUAAUUGAGUUUCCUACCAAAAUGGUCCUAUGCUGAUUUUAGUAUUUUGAUCCGAUGCCAACUUUGUUUGCUGAGGCUCGUUGGAAUUCAUUGGAUGUUUUUAGUGUGAGGAGCUGAGGAUCAUCUUAUCUAAUUUCCCUCUCUCUCUCCCUCUCCCUGUUUCUUGCCACUGCACGCAAGCUGCAGCUUCAGCUUGCUGCCAGCUGCAGGCAUGGCAGCAGCAGCAGCUAGAAUGCAGGGUCAGCAGCAGAGUUUGAGGUGCAAUUGAGCUGAAUUGAAGCUGGAAUUUGCCCAAUUAGAUCUUGCUUAAGUGCUAGCUGAGAGAGGAGAACUCUUGGACCAUUUCAUUUAGUUGGAUUUCUAGUUAGUGAAUGAAAUUGAUGCUUUUUGGAUCUUGAAGCUGAACUUUCAGCAUAUUGAUGGAUUCUUAAUCAAUUUCUACACUCAAACUUGAUAGCCGUGUCUUGCUGAUUUUUGCUGGUUUAUCCUCCAAGUCCUUGAAGUGGUGGAGCUCAAUUCAUACCUUUUUCUAGCUGGAGUUUCAGGUUUGUGGAUCUAAUUUCGAUUUAGAAUCAUGAAUCAAGCUGAUUUUUGGAUUCUUGUUAGAAUAUCCUUGAUUCUUGUGAUCUGAUUCUUAAAUCUGAAUUUUAGAUGCAAAAUUGAGCUUUGGUGGGGGAUGUAGUGAGGAAGUGAAGCUUGUGAACUCAUUCCUCCAACCCAAUUUCAGGUUAGGAGGAGUUUAAUUGGUGAAUUUUCCUUAUAAUGCUGAAAUUUUGAGAAUUGAUGUAGUUCAUUGAUGUUUCAACUCAAAUUUCUUCUAGUGAGUUAUUUAGAGGAUUCUGGUUCUUGCUUCAAUUCCAACUAAUUUAAAGUUUCCCCCAGCUGAAUAUUAAGGUACAUUGAUCAAAUUGUUAAAGUUAAUUCGGAUCUGAAGUCGAAACUGCAUUUCGUCAAGCUUCAUUGACAUGCAGCGAAUCCAUGGAUGGAGUGGCUUUCUCUUGGUUCCUUCCUACUUAAAGUGAAGUUAAGAGCUAGAAGGACAUCAUAUUUAGCUUAUUGCAAGGUUGUCUGAGCUAAAUUUCAGGGAAUUGCUGAUUUGUUAGUUAGAUUCCCGCAUUAAUGCAAUUUGUUUAUUACUCUAGCUUCAUUUCGUGCUGAAUUGUGGAGCUACCUUGAUUUAAUUCUUGCUGGUUUUGACCGAAGGAGGGGUGUACCUCGUGGUCGAAUCCCUGCCAUGGUUGGAUUAGCUCCAGAGGUGGGUUGAAGUUACCGGAUUCAUCGGAAUUCCUUCUAAGUUGUAUGAAAUUUCAGCAUGCCAUAUUAUCCCUCAAUCAUGUUUAGUAGCUCAAGCUGUAGAUUUGCAUGUCCUUAUAUGAAAUCUGAAUUUGGAACUUAACUUAGUGAUUUUUGGUGAUUUUAUAUGCUGAAUUGGGAAUUGACUUAGGAGAAAAUCUACACAUUUCACUUUUUGAUGAUGUUAUCAGAUCUAAUUUCAGGAGCUAUUUUUACCUUUGUACCAUUGCUGUUAAUGCGUCGUGGAUACUCGGAUUAGUGUAUGUUGAGAUUACGCUCGUGCUAAGAUGCCAAAAUGACUUUUACGGUGUGAGUUUAGAUUGUUUAGUGUCGGCGGGUGCCGUCCGGACUGACGGUGGACCUGGAUCUUCACUUUUCGCAUCAGAUUGUGCCGAGGGCGCGUGAGCUCUAGUUUUUGGAUCUGUUUGACCCAUUCGCAUCGAUCAUAGCCUACGUGAGCCUGAUUGAGCUCGACAGAGACACACUUCUAUACUCGAUGGGGUCGCACCCCUCGAGUGCCACUCCGGAGUCUGACUUUCUUGCAUUGAUGUCGCAGCAUCCCUUUUUGAGCCUUUUACUUGGUCCGGCCACCCCUGAGCGUAGUGUGCGGUGUAGUUUUGGUACAGGCUGGACGGGCCGAUUGGCAGUCCCUUUAGAUUGGGUUAGUAGAGAUUGGUUUCAUGUCAGUGAUGCAUAUAUAUAUAGAGAAAGAGCUUGAUGUGAGUAGAGUGUUUCCCAGCUUUACAUUUCUGCACUUUACUUAGCAUUUACCUUUCAGCUUUGAGGACUUAGUGGGUAGGCCGUUGAUAUCAGUGACGGUACCCACUGAGGGCUACUUUGUUUUACAGAGUUUUUACAGCCUUUGUUGCCACUUCUCUUGCAGAGCCUUCGAUUGCUGUUGUUCCUUCUGAUCGAGGUAAGGAAGCCAUGAGCUAGAUCCUGGUCCACCCCGGUAGACGUGCUAGAGGAGUACCUUAUUUUGGAGAUAGAUCAUUUUGACAUACAGUUAUAAUUAUAUGUGAUCAAAGAUGAUGAAGUACUGAAUAUACAGUUGUAUACAGUUUCUUAUUUUGGACUACAUGUAUGUAUAGUUGGCCCUAUGUAUAUAUUCCAGUUUUUGGUAGUUGUGCUUAUAUUGUUUGCAGGUUCAGCUACCGCUUCGUGUACACAGGAAUUUCCUAUGCAUACGGCAGAUCUGUUGGCGAGCUCGUGUGAGUUGGAACGCGGGGCGUGACAAUUAUGUUGCUUGGUCUCGAUCCUAUUUGCUAAUUUAUUAAAGCCAGAGGGCUUUAUGGCUAUAUAACAGAUAGUAGAAAGAGACCUAUAGAAGAAGACCCUCUUAUAACUCAAUGGAAAUAUGAAAAUUGUCUAGUUCUGUCGUGGCUUUUGAACUCAAUGCAACCGGCACUUGCACGUUUCUUGACACUGCUCAUAAGAUUUGGAGCGCUACAGCACAAACUUACUCUAAGGUUGGAAAAUGAUGCUUUAGUUUAUGAGAUUAGAGAAAAAAUGUACAAGACUAAACAAGAUGAUAUGACGGUAGCACAGUAUUUAGUAGUCUUUGGCAAGAAUUAGACUACUAUCAAGAUUUCUAAGCUGACUGUCCAACAGAUGCAGCCGAGUUUCAGAAGCUGGUAGAAAAAGAAAGAGUUAUGAUUUUCUGGCUAGUCUACAAUCUGAGUUUGAUCCAAUUAGGGUCCAUCCAUCAUUGCGGGAAACUUAUUCCUAUGUAUAGCAAGAGGAAAGUAGGAGAAAUAUUAUGCUGCAUCAGUUGGCCGCUGAAAAUUAGAUUUAGCAGCAUCUAAAUCUAUUUCACGAAUAACGAGGGCAAGACUAGUGGACUUGAUCCUUUUAUGGUAGAGAAGGAUCAACUUCCAUGUAACAAUUGUGGGUGACAGACGCAAAAAAAACUUGCUGGAAGUUACUAGGAUGUCCCACCAAGGGAGGAAGAGGAAGAAGUAGCACUGGUCGGGGUUCUGGAAGAUCAUUAGCAUAUCAGUUUGAGAUAGUAGAAGUCACUUCUCAAGAAAAUAGCUAUGUUGAAACUGGGGGAUUGACUCAGGAGGAUCUUCAGACCAUGCAGAGAUUAAUGUCAAACUUUGGCUUUCUAGUUCCAGUUGCUUUUCUAAAUCUGUUCCUACCUCGAAUUUCGCCCUUGCAGGUACUUCUUACAAUGUUUUUCAAACCAAUCUAAAGUUCUUAUCUCCUUGGAUUAUUGAUUCUAGUGCAUCCGACCAUAUGACAGGCUUGUCAAAUAAUUUUUCAUCUUACAACCCUUCUUGAGGGAGGAAUAAGGUUUGAGUUGCUGAUAGGUCUAUAUCCCGUCUCUGGCAAAGGUUAUAAUAUUUGUAUUCCUCUAAUCUUGUCUUCUGUUCUUCAUGUCCCAUCAUGUCCAAAUAAUCCCAUCAUGUCCAAAUAACCUACUAUCUAUUAGCACCAUAACUAGAGAUCUCAACUGUAAAGUCAUCUUUCUCCAUCAUAUUGUGUUUUUCAGGAGCUCGGGACAGAGAGAACAAUUGGCUAUAGUAAAAUGCGUAAGGGCCUCCACCCAUUGGAGGAAGGAUAUGACCAAACCUUUAAUCAUUAUGCUGCGCAUCAUACCAAAAAAUGCAUAAGGGCCUCCAUCUCUUUGAGGAAGGAUUUGACCAAACCUUUAAUCAUUAUGCUGCUCAUCAUACCGACUCAAGUUCAGCAUGUCAAAUGAUAGACUUAUGGCAUCGGCGAAUGGCAGCCUUUCAACAAAUGAAAAGAGUGUUUCCUAAGCUUUUCAAGCAUCAUAGUUCAAAAACAAUAACAUGUGAUGCCUGCGAGAUGGCAAAGUGCACACGUGUCCAUUUUCCAAGUAGAAAUAAUGAAAGCGCCCAAUUUCGUUAUUUCGAUAAUCGUUUCAGUGUUUGAACGCACACAUGACAUGCGUUCAGCUCCAAAGGCAGCCCCAACACCACAUUGCCACAUAAAAGUGACAUGAAGUCACCAACAAUACCCACAGCGCGACUGGAACAUCGGUUCCAACUACUGAUUUUCCAUUUUUGCCGAUACUCACAUAAACUCUCUGGAAUAGCCAUCAAGUGUCCUGAAUCACAUUAUGCAUCCUAAUAUCCUAUUCGCUAUCCUGAAGUGCACCAAUUUAGGUACCAGGGCAGCCGCUCACAAAGUGCAACUGAAAGGGAUUUCGGUACCGAAAAUAUGCUAUUCUGGGCUCCGAAAAUGUUGUUUCCGGCAUCGAAACCCACCAUGAGCAUCCUUCUAUCACUAUACACACAAGACGGCAAAGGUUGACCAAUCAGGAAGGCUCAACAAUGUCCAAAGGCCGCCACAACAACAUUCGCAUGAAUUUUAACCCGAAACUGCAUUAUAACAACAAUUUCGGCAACAAAAGUGCGGAAAAGGCUCAUUUCAGCUCUAAAUUGAUUUGCGGACUUAGGACAACCAGUCCAGUGGUCCAACAUACAAAAUAUAUGCUGUGCGACGUGAAAAUGUGUUUCCACCUAUUACACUAUUCAUUAUAGAAAACGGAGUUUCAACUCAUUACCUAGGUUUUCGCUAUUGGGAAAGCCGAACCUUUGCACACAUGAAAUGAUAACUUUUCGAAAUGUCUCGCAGUCCUCUACCUGUCAAAGUCCUCAGUUUCAAAAAAUUCUUGUUUUUCACACAUGUAAUGAUAACUUUUCGCAUAUUGCUCCCUUUUUUUCAUUUUGGAGAAUUUGCAUUUCAGCCUUUCCAAUUCAUAGUUUCUUACCCAAAACUCACCCACAUGUGUAUUUUGUUCAUAAGUCCUUCUCACUAUGAAAGCUCACAAUUUGAUACAUAAAAUGUCGCCCUUUUUGCAACAAAACUCUAUUUUAUCAGUUCCUCUCUCGAUCAUUUUUAUCUCCAAAAUAUUUCUUUAUCACGCAAAACUGCACGAAAGUCUCUCUCAUGACUUACAACACCGUCAGACCUUAGGAGUGGCAAAUUUGUUACUUUGAAAACUGUCCAAUUACAGAAUAGUACCCUAUCUUUAUGAAAACUACCGCAAGAAAAACUUCUAGUACUACGUAAUAGUAAAAAGAAAUGAUUCACAAAAGACAACAGGAUCCAAAGAUUAUCAAACAAAAGAAUUAGAGGUAAAGGAUUUGGGAAAGCUAAGAUAUUUUCUAAGCAUCAAGAUGGUGCGGUCUGAACUGCACAAAAGCUACAUAUCGGUCUGGUCAAAGUGGUCAUGGAUCACAAAAGCUGGGCAUAUAUAACAAUCAACCGAAUGACUCAAUGGAUCUAGAGUUCAACCAAUGAGAAAUCUGCACUAUCAUCUCUCUCAAAUAGGUCUAGUUCCAAGUGGUCGCAAAUCACAAAAGCAGCAGAUAAGUCUAGUUUGAAGUAAUCGUGGAUCACAAAAGUUGUGUAUAUGUAACAAUGAAAAUAAAUUGAAUCACUCAAUGGAUAUAGUGCUCAACCAACGAGAAAUCUAGCACUACCAUCUCUUUCUAUUAAGUCCAGUUCUAAGUGGUCAUGCAGCACAAAAGCUGGGCAUGUAUAACAAUGGACUGAAUCACUCAACAGAUGUAGUGUUCAACCAAUGAAUUAAAAUUAAAAUCUGGCACUAUCAUAUGAUGUAGCUUUGAGAUAUGCUUUGAUUAUGCAUCAAGCUAUUCAAAAGAGAAACUCACAAUCUUCAAAUAAAAUGUUUCGCUCCAAUGUCCUUCACAUCUCCCUGAGAAACAACAGAGUCAAGGGGUAUAUUGUUACCUCGGACUGACCUAACCAAAUUCGAAUUCUGAUCAUUACGAAACUCUGCUAGGAUGCCUCAGAGAUCAUCAAUGAGCACAUGCAAUGCGACAUGCAUAAGAGUCAUUUUCAUAUUUCAGCCGUCAACUGGGAUAGAGGUUUCUCACUUCAAUAACUUGCUGUGUCCUAUUAAUCUCACUGUAAUAGUGGUAUUUUUCAAAUCCUUCUCGCUCCCUUAGACAGAUUAAUCAUUAUUUCCACGACAUAUGCAUAAAACAAAUCAACCUUCUACUUCGUAGGACGCUUAUUUCUUAUUUCACCCCAAAUAUAUAGCCUAAUUUUUACAAAUAUAUUUUUUGCUUGAACCACAAAAGAAAGAAAGAAAGAAAAUAAAAAAAAUAAAAAAAAAAAGAAGAAGGAAAUGCAUACCAUUAUACGUUCUGAAAAGCCCACCGUUAUCGUUGUAUUAGAAUUAGGUAAUCAGCAGGCAGGUGAUUGAUUGAUGAAACACAAAAGGGAGGAGGAGGAGGAGGAAAAGAAGAAGAAGAAGAAGAAGAAGAAGAAGAAGAAGAAGAAGAAGAGGGUUUACCUCAUUUUUCCCGGGUGGUUCAAUAUCGACGGCGUAGAGUAACGGGACCUUUGCCUCAUAUGAUGAUGAUGAUGAUGAUGAUGAUGGCGCGCGUUCAGAUCAUAAAGAACCGAUGGUCGAUAUAUACCAGUGUUCCCCCUCCGGCUCCAACCAACCUCUUCCCUGUCUCUGUUCCUUGUCGUCCUUGGCAAAUCUUGAGGAUGGUAGAGGCGAACCAACCUCCAGGAAGGAAGCAAAGAGGGGAGGCGACCGGAAACUUCAAACUGGCAAGCACACUAGCAUUAUUCAAGCUUUCUCCUCUGACUAUUUUUGGGCAGCCUAAUUGUAUAUAUCCUAUUUAAUUUGCUAGACGGUGGGGGAAAAACACAAUGAAUUUUAGGGAAAACUUCAAAAACCCCCUGUGGUUUCGUGCAUUCUCACUUUGCUACCCUGUGGUUUAAAACGUAUCAAUUUACCCCCCUGUGGUUUCAUUUUUAUCUUUUCGGAAGCUUUUUUGUUAAUAUUUCGCUAAAUUAUAUACAAAAAACUUCAGAUAACCAUCUAUAUUUAUCGAAUAGUCACUUUAGUAUCCUUUAAUUUUAACUUUGUCACUGAUUUUAAAAAAUAAUAAUAAUAAAAUUGAUAACAAAAAGAUAAAAACGAAACCACAGGGGGGCAAAUUGAUACGUUUUUAAACCACAGAGUAGCAAAGUGAGAAUGCACGAAACCACAGGGGGGGUUUUUGAAGUUUUUCCUUAAUUUUAUAGAUGCCACGGUUAAAAAUAUUUUAGUAAAAAUUUAUAAAUUAAAUAAAUAAAUAAAAUUAUAAAAAAAGUUUAUAAUAUGAAAAAUAUAGAAAAAAAAAACUUUAGAAGGAAAUUACAAUCUAAUAGAAAAUAAUGUAAGAAACAAAAAAAAAAAAGUUAAAAAGCAUAGGAGUAAGAAAAUGAUCAUAUAGAUAACCUAUAGAGAUAUUUAGAAUGUUGUAAAAAAAGUAUAACAAAUGAUAAAAGAUAAACUGAAGAGGUUUAAAUUUAUAUUUAUCUAAUUAUAUAAAAAGAUUUAUCUGGCAUAUUUUCUUUCCUAACUCAAAUUAGUUUUUUCUUAAACACCAACUAUUAUUGCAUGUACCUUUGGACAUCUAAAUUGUAAUACCAUAUAGAAUUAGCGCAGAAUGUAAAGGAACUGAAGAAAAAAUAGUAAGCAAUAUAUGACAGUCGUGUAAAUAAAUUUUAAAAUUAAUAAUAGUUAGUUUUAACUACCUAAAUUGUAAAGACCCAUUUUCAUACAUCUAUGAACCAAACAAUCUAUAUAUUAUUUUAGUCUAUUGAUGCAACAGGACAAUUUAAUCAGUGUUCUUAAUAAUUUACUCCGUCAAUUUUUAUGCAACUCAAAUAACUUAUUUAUGAAUAGUAAUGUACAAUAAAAGAAAAGAAAAACUUAAGGAAUAAAUUUUUCUUUCUUUAUCAUUUAUUAUGAGACAACGCCUCGUAAAAAGUAGAAAUUAAUGAGGCAGGAAGCCGACAAGAUAACGAUUUUACGGAGAAGACGAACGGGUACACUACGGAUGAGCGAAUAAAGAGCGAAAUGAUUGGAGAGUAAUAUUUAAUAAGGGGGAAGCCGAAAAGGCAAUGAUGUUAUGGGAAAGGUGUCACGCCCCGGGGUGCGUUUUGUAAAGCCUUUUUGAAUGAAAGGGGCAGUUUGAAAUAAAACCAGCGGAAAAAGACUAUAUUUUUUUUGAAAUUAAAACUUGUCCCCAAGACGUAACAGACCCGCUGUAUAUACAGAAAUCUCUCUAACCACACUCACAGAGUCUUUCCUGCAUCUGCACGGCGUACCAAUAUAACAUAUACAACAACACACUCAUCCACUCAUACAAACAAUAUACACAAUGCAAAUGUCAGACAACCAUUCAGCUAACCAUCCUUACGAUGAUGCAUGUUCUAAACACUCCUUAGGCGAACGAUGAUGCAUGUUCUAAACACUCCUUAGGCGAACGCUGAUGCUAAUGCACAUACAGCAAUCAAUUCUAUUCUUUUAAAAGUGUUUCCCAUCCGAAAACUCUCUUUAGAAACACAAGAUAUCGAUAAAUCCGAAAAUCGUUUAAAAAUUGUUUCCUACACGAAAACUCUAUUUAAAAACACUAGAUAUCGAUAAAUUUGAAAAUCCUUUAAAAAAUAUUUCCCACACGGAAACCCACUUUUGGAAAGCCAGCUACCACGAGGGGUAGAAAACCACGAGCGAUAAAAUCACGAUUAUCAUCCUGAAUUAUUGAGAAUAAACAAUCAUUCGCAACACACGGAAACCCACUUUUGGAAAGCCAGCUGCCACGAGGGGUAGAAAACUAUGAGCGAUAAAAUCAUGAUUAUCAUCCUGAAUUAUUGAGAAUAAACAAUCAUUCACAAUAUUCAAAAUCACUAAAUAGCUGAAUAACUGAAUCACAUAUAAUCUAGUUUAUUAACCACUAAAAUGAGAAGGGUCAUGUUAAAGCACAAAAAAAAAAAAAGAAAAAAAGAAAGAAGGAGAGAAAAUUUGAAUCCAACUUUUAGGAAUAUAGUGUAUGAGAUGAUCUAUACACUAGGUGCAUAGAAGAAAUUUGAAUUCAAAUUUUGAACAUGGUGCAUAGGUUAACCUAUGCACUAGGUGCAUAGACUACAAAAAAAAAGGGAAGAGAGAGAAUGCUCUCAUAAGCAUGCAUAGCUAUUAUAUAUGUACUAUUUAGCAAAUUAGUCCUUUUCCUUUCAUAUAUUUGUAAGAUGCUCCACUUUAAGCAUAUAAAUAUUUUGUUAUUUAUAUAUUACUCUUUUAUUUUAACUGAAGUAUAAUAUAAACAAACAAGAUAGGUUAAUCUGCAAUAUUAUGCCCAUAAUACCAUUACAACUUUCCACAACCUCCACCACAUGCACGUUCUAAAAAAAAAAAAAAAAAAAAAACCCAAGUAGUUAUAGCUUGGUCUAUAAAUAUCUCAACAAACAAAAGGUGGAUCACUGAAGAAAAAAAAAAAAAAAAAAAAAAACCUUUUGUUUUUCAAUCUCAAACUAUCCUAACAAAAAAAAAAAAAAAAAAAAAACCAUCCCAUUCCCUGUUCACGAAAGAAAAAAGGUAAUAUUAAUAUUUUUUUUUUCCUUCACCAUUGAUGCAGCAUCAAAGCUCUCUCUCUUAAAAAAUAAAUAAUAAGAAAGAGAAGAAGAAAAAGCUUUCUUCCCUCUCCACGUUCUUGUACAAGCUGCGGGAUCAGGUGGUGUGUCCGCUCCCCAACGGACUCCUCGCCGCAGCCGCGUCGCGCCCGCGGCUACGCGCUCGGGUAGGUGAAGCGCAACUGUGGCGGCGUACUACCCGGCGAUCCAGAUCGCGGCCGUGGUUGAGGACAAUGAGAUGUUCGCGAGCCCGCGCAGUAGCCUCAUCGCGCUCCUCGUCCCGGCCAUGACCAACGUCUACGCCGCGCUCGCGCGCCUCGGCCUCGACGACGCCAUGAAGGUCUCCUCCCCCAUCGCCCUCACCGCGCUCCGCGCCUCGUACCCGCCAUCCGCGGGCGCGUUCCCAAACGACCUCGCGGAGCGCGUAAUGCGCCCGAUGCUCGACCUCCUCUGCCACACCGACUCCUACCUCAUGGUCAACGCCUACACCUUCUUCGCCUACUCCGCUGACGCCGCCACAUCCCUCGACUACGCCGCCAUCCGCCCCGACACCGGCCUCGUCACCGCUCACCAGGUGUUCGAUCUACGUCCGCAACGAGCAGCACUUCUUUAAAAGGAGGCUUCUAUAAGUCUACGCCCCCUCCGGCAGCAGCCGUUGCAUCUCGCUCAUCGCCUGCGGACUCUUGAUUCCCCACAACGAAGAUGACAACAUGUGGCAGUAGCGGUUGGAGGAGCCAAAAUUCGAUGCCGACAGCACCGUCGACGAGCAUUUGGACGUCGUGCCGUGCGGGCUGCACCCAAUCUAUGUCGACAAGUCCCGGCGCCGGUACCUGGUCAGCUCCGACCUCAUCAACCACCCGCUCUUCCGCGUCCUCAUCGAGCGCUCGGACGGAGGAGAGGGAAUGCCAUCGGCGGUGAUCAUCGUGCGCGAAGUGGUGCUGUUAGAGCACCUGCUGCGGAUGCUGCGGAACGUCGGCGUCCAUCCAUCCCGAGUUGACGCCCGACGACUUCGUCGAUUUCUUCACCUUCGACCUUGCCACUACAUCGACUAUAUCAUAGCCGCGACUUCCAACUCUCUGCUGCAAUUCCAAAGCAAUCGGAGUUGCGCAACGCAUCACGCCCACCAAUUGUUUGACGAAAUGCCCAAGACGCAUUUUUCGACGGCGAACCUAACCUGCAUAUAGAGAGAGAGAGAGAGCGGUGCUCUUCUCUUAAAAAAAAAAAAUGUGUGUUAUCAAAAGAGAGAGAGUGGUGCUCUUCUCUUCGUAAAAAAAUAUAUCAUCAAAAGAGAGAGGGAGCUUCUUUACUUAGAGAGGCAAAGAAGGAUUAUCCAUCUUUAUUGUCUUGUACCUUCAAAGGAGAUAAAGAAAAAAAUACUCUCUUAAUUCUCUUAUAAUUAAGAGACAAAAGAAAUCAAUCGGAUUGUUGAUUGUUAUUCUUUUGAUCGUCUUUUUAUUGGAAGAACAACGGGAUGUUCGAAAAAUAAUCGAUCCCCUUUUGAUUCUAUUCAGAGUCGAAUCUCUCGAUUUGGCCAAAUUAGAUCAAAUUGAGAUUUAAUCGCAUUGGACGCUUUAUGCUCCAAAUUAGAUUAAGUCAUGAUUAUUAUAAAAAAAUGUAUUCAAAAUUUUAAGCAGUGAAUUUAAUUUUGAAUCAAAUAUUUAAAUUUUCAAUGUUAACAUUUUGAUCUCCACAAGUCCAAAAUAAUCUCUGGCUAACCACCUCAAAAUAAAAGAUCUCUUAUGGACCAAGCCCAUACUCACCUAAAAUCACAUAACUCAAGCUCAGCAUAACUUAGGUUCAGCCCAAACUUGAAUCUGAGCCCAAUUCUGUAGCUUGCCCAAAGAAAACUUGGACUUAAGUCAUACGGGCCUAAACUAGAGCCUAAGCGCAUAUCCAGAACUUAAAUUCAAUUCAGGCUGGCCUCAACUUGAAUUCAUACCAUAUGGGCCUGAAUUUAGCCCAUGCCUGAAUGCAAUUAUACGGGCCCGAAUUUGGACCAUGCUUGAAUCCAUAGUAGAAUUGAACCAUAACUUGAAUUACAUGAAGCCAUACCUAGCCCAGGCCCAAGUUUGAAUCCAAUGAGAUCCAUAUACACGGUCUCGUUUUCCAACUGAUUUGAGAUUUCUAUACACAAUCCCAAUCAGCCUACUUGAGAUUCAUAUACAUAAUCUCAGAUUGAAUCGAAGUAAAUAAACUUGAGGUUCAUCUACAUAAUCUCAGGUUAUUUAAAUUAAACUAAUCCACUUUGGAUUAGAUAAUAAAAAAUGGAAUCAGUGUAUAUGAUUCUAUUUAUAUACCAAACUAGUUAAGAUUUGUUUACAAAAUCUUAAACUAAAUCGUAGUUACACCAUCGUUAUGCUGAGAUCGAAUUACACGAUCUCUUAACCCAAUUUUUCAACCAUCCCGAGUCAGAGUAUAAGUCCAACAUGGAUCGGAUACACCGAAUCCAAGUUCUCACCUAAACUAACUAUUCGUAUUAAAGUUUAGAACUAAACCCAAUUUAAAAACCUAAACCACGACCAGAUAUACUCCUCUAGGUAGUAGACUUAACCAAAAGUCAUGUUUGUAUCAAACCUAAUCANAUGGUGAACCCAAAGUAAAUAUGAUUAAGCUCUAACACAUAAGCGUAGAGCCUAAUUACACUAGACUCUAAGAUAUAAAAUUAGAGUCCAAUUCAAAAUAUUUGGGCUAAUCCUAACACAUACAUUUAGGAUGAAAGCUUAAAUUAAAUCAAACUCUAUUGGACUUUAUUACAUACAAUUAAAGUUCAAUUAACCAAAUCAAACUCUAAUGCAUCUAAUUAGAGUUUAAUUCGAAUCAAAUCCGAUUAAGUCCCAAUGCAUAUACAUGGAAUUUAAUCAAUCCUUCAUCUUAGGGUGAACAAUGUUGAGCUCCAAAACAUAUAGGGCCCAACAAAAUCAAUUUGAUCAUGUACUUUGAGCAUCUUUGAAUAUAUAACCAAGGUGCAAUCAAAAUUAAGUUCAGUUGACCAUCAUAUCGUAAAAUUAAGCACUUUUCUUUUUUUAUGCUCUGUUUAUGUACACUGAGGGUAUGCCCUUGGUUAAAGCCAUGCAAUUGAAUGAUAAACUAUAUUAUAAAAUCUUUUUUUUUUGUUCAAUUCCAGUUUAUUUCUCCUUCAGUAUUUCAAAGGUCUCUUAAUCGAAGGUACCCUAAUAUUUUAUAGGAGUAAUUAACAGUAAAUGCUUGCAUUUAUUGGAAGCCAUGAAUCCAUAAUACUUGAUAACCAUACAUAUUCAAAUAAUAAUCUGAAUCAUGAAUACUACCCCACGGUGAAAAAUCAAAAUCAAAUUAACCGUGCGAGGUGCAUCAUUCGUGGUCGCAGACAGGAUAGAAUAACCAAAAGCUGACAGGUCGGGACCCCUAUAGCUCGCUAGUUACCACACCUCACAUACCGUCCCGACUCCUACCACUGAGAUCACCUGAAAAACGGCGGGGGGUGAGAACAUGUAAACAUGUCUUCCCUCCGAGUGGCUACCGCAAGCUGACGAAGGUGAGGAGUACGCAUCAGCAAAGGAGAAACAACAGAUAGAUAUGUAUAUAUCAAGUACAGUAACGAUAACGGAAAACAGGUAUAAACAGGUAUGAACAACUACUGCUACUGUGAAUAAUGAAGACUAGUGUAGGAACCCGCGCAAUGCGGCGGAUAUAAUCAUAUUUGAUUAAAUUUAAUAAUAUAAAAAAUACUUUAAAAUUUUUAGAAUUGAAUUAUAAUUCAAUGAAAAACAAUGAAAGAUUAAAAAAACUAUAGAAGAAAAAAGUUUGUUACAUAGAAAUCGGACCCUUCUGUACCCCUAUUUAAGGCAUUCUCUACUAACACCGACGAUUUCGUGAAGUACCACAGUGCCUUCAACCCUUUUCAGCAAGUCCAUAUCUUAGUCGAUACUUCUCAUCCUUGAUGCCAUUAGAGGAGAGGGAUAUACACCCUUUGCAUAACUAUGCAUUACAAAUUUAAGUGGUCGAGAUCGAGGAAGGAGGGUUGGGGGCUAGGGUUAGAGUUCGAUUCACCCAGUGUUGACGGCGAGGGUGAGGGCGAGGGCAGAGCACCUGCGGGGAUUGAGGUUGCAGCGGACGUAGUAGGCGAGGUCCUUGUCGAGGACGCUAUAUGUCAUGCCCACAGGCUCCUCGGGCAACGUCUCUUAGAAAAUAAAAAUUAAUGAUGCGGGAAGUCAAAGCAGCAAUGUUACAGAGAAGAAAUUAAUGAGACGAAAAGCCGAAGAGAUAUGCAUUACCGAGAAGGAAUUAAUGAGACGAAAAGUCGAAGAAGCAGACGUUACAGGAAAGGAAUUAAUGAGACGGAAAACCAAAGAGACAGGCGUUAUGAGGAAGGCGAGCAGUCGCAAUGAUUGGAGAGUAGAAUUUUGAGAAGAGAUUAUGGUGUCACCACGUGGCAAAAGCUUAUGAGAAAUAAUGUAUGUGUAUAGAUAGAUAUGCAUCAACUGUAGAUGAAUUGAAAACCUAAUAACUGUGCCCUAUAGAUCCAAAGAUCGCAGACUAUGUCACAGUAUGCUCACCAUAUAUAUCAAGUACAGUAGCGAAUAAUGGAAAACAGGUAUACACAAGUAUGAAUAACUACUACUACUGUGAAUAAUGAACAUAUGCAUCAACUGUAGAUGAACGAAACCAACUACCAAAAUCACUGCCGCAUUGGUCGAAAGACCUCAGGCUAAACCAUGUUUUGCUCGCCCACCUGGCAUAUAACCCUAACAGGCACCUAGUAGGGCUAACAGGUUAGAUGUACGACCAUUUUUCCGAAAAAGAACACCCUCUUGUGGUGGAUCAGAUCGCUGGUGUACGUGAAGAUGCUCACGAGCUGUAGCAAUCGAUGCAAUAUGCUCAAUGGCCCACAACGACAACUAGCUGAAAGAGUAAUUCACAAAUAUCUGACCGAAUCAGGUCCACUAUUCCUGAAGGAAAUGUCACCAUGUCACUGACCUAUAAGGUCUAUAUAACUAAGUCACCUUGUAUGAGAUGCGAAAAGUCAUCAUGCAACAGAUAUGUAAUAUCACUGUGUAAUGAAUACGAAUGUCACCGUGUCACUGACCUAUAAGGUCUAUAUGAUCAAGUCACCAUGUACGAGAUAUGGAAGUCAUCAUGUCACUAUAGUCAAAUUAUAACCCCUAAUCAUAGCCUACUCUAUAACUAGAUUAGAAUAUCAUAGAUGAGAAAUAAACUGUAGAGUAGACAACAGAAAACCAGAGAGGUGUAAAAGCUUAGUAGACAAGCAUAUAUAUAUAUAUAUAUAUAUAUAUAUAUAUAUAUAUAUAUAACUCCAAUCAAAGAGAGUAUGAAAGGAAAGAAAUCACCGAGAAGGCACCGCUGAACCAACUUCGGAUCGAAGUACCCACCUGUACCGAAGAAUCAAGCCAGGUCGUAGACACCCGUCCAUGUCUCUCGCCACAGUCCGAACCUAUGUAAAGUCCCAUCAAAAUUGCAAUUAGCUCAAACCCGCUAAUCACAAAAGCUAUGGUUUCAAGUGAAAUCAACAGGUGAGCAAUCGGGUUUCCGGAUCCCAUCCUACGGUCACCGAAACAUCGCCCGAUUGUUGCACCGACUCUUCGAAAUAUCGCCCCAACCCAUGGGGUAUUCCAAAACAAUUCCCACACCAAGCCUACCUCUCCCGCUGUCCCAAUACACCAAUUUAAUGUUAAUGGGACAGACGCAUGAAUAGUACGCCGAAACGGCAAGCCAAUACCCCGACAAUCAUCGGUUUGGCUCCCGGGAUGCCUAUUUCGGCACCGGGACCACCUGCAGCCAUCAUGCUACGACCAGAAGUGUCAAACCUCACACAAGAGAUAGCCAAUAAGGCUCAAACUCUACUGCGAAUAGCAACAACCUGCACGAUAAGAAACUACGCACCGAACCACCCUGUUUUCACGUUUCAGAAUGCCCACUAAGCCACGAAAUGUUCCAAAACACUCUUUGGGUCGAGCGACCACCCUCGCUGCCCCAAAACACUCACUUUUGGGUGUUGGGAUAGCCGCACGCUGAGUGGCACGAUUCGGGUGCGAAAACUUCGAAAUCCGUCGUACCAGGUUUCCAGAAAUCGCCGAGAUAGGCUCCGAAACCUCCUGCCGCUAACCAGCCACCUUCAUACUUCGAGGAUGGCAGUAGCAACCAGUCAACAAGGCAUGGCAGGGUUCUCAAGCAAUCCACAACACUAGAACAUCAAAACCCACCAACGAACCUCGUUCAUUCAGCAAAUUUUCAUCGAACGACACCGUGGGCCACAAACUAACACCGCAAUUGUUCUCGAACCUUUGACGGUCAAUCAAGAGGUUGUUAACAGCGUCUUCACACUAUUCAAGGCAAUACACGGUAUUCCCAAAGCAUAACAAAAGCAAACAGUCCACAAUAACACUAAGUUCUAUAUAAAAUAAUGCAUGAACAACGAGUUUAGAGCUUGUUACCCUGAUCCGUAACGCAACGGAUCAAACCAACCAGUUAAUCUGAAUCGACUCGAUACAAGGAUGCCCAUGCUCGCUGUCCGAAACAGCGAGAGAACCACCAAAAAUAAAGUUCCGGAAGCGGCCACGGCCUUCAUGUGCAACGGGGCUUCGCCGAUCGUAGUGAAGGUGAGCGCGGCACGGAGGCUCGAGCCCUGGCAAGGAGGUGGUCCCCGCACCCGGAGGGAGGGAUCGGGACCUCUGGCCGGAGACGAGAUGGAGUAGCGGCGCGGCUGCGACGGCAAACUUUUAAACCAGCCCGCUACUAGGGCAACUUGGCGCGGCGUAGCGACAACUCAGGGACAGCCAGGGACGGCGGCGGCCGGGUGGCUCUCCACGGCUGCACGGCUGUUGCAGCUCCUCCUUGGCCGCGGCGCAACCCCCACGGCACAGCGGCGCCGGGGAGGCUCAGGGAUGGCUGCCCGACGGAGUCAAAGGACCAUGUCGGCGGUGGUCUUGAACGGCGACGGCGUAGGGAUGGCCGGCUCAAGUCCCCCCUCACACACCAAGAACAUAGGAGAGAGAAAGAUGGAGAGAAGAGGAAGUUAGGUUCCUCCCUGAUUCCGGUGACCGGCGACAGCGACAACAGUGACGGCGCGUCUCAGGAGGAUCAGAUAGGGGAAGGGGAAGCGUGGCUAGGGCUAGGGUUAGAGGAGCUCUCUCUCUCUCUCUCUCUCUCUCUCUUUCUUUCUCUCUAAGAAUCUCUUUCUCUCUCCUAGAGUGGAAUCAAAAGGAGGAUUUGAUGAAGCAGAAGACUUGGAGGCGAAGAUUCUUCCUCUUAUUCUUUCUUGUCUCAAGAGAAGGCUAGGUUUUGAGGUAAGCUCCUAGAGCUCUCAUGGUAGAACUUUAGGGUUUGGUUUAAAUGCCCUAGGAAUGGAUCUAGAUGAAUCUCUAGAUGGUAUUAUGCUUGCUAUNUACCCCAGUCCAAAAGUUUUUUUUUUUUUAGAUCAAUGAAGGCGACAUGAAAGUUAGAUUGUCCCUGGGCCCCGCACUGUUAAUUUGGUUGGUGGGUGAGUUGGGAUCCCCUGAUGAUAGUAGGAUUGGUGUGUAGGAAAGUAGGUUGCCGGUUUUUGAGUUAUUAUGGUUCCCGAACCAUGAUAACUAUCAUAUCGUCGUAUUAAUAUAUAUAUAUAAUGUGUGUGUGUGUGUGGAUGUAAACACUCAGUUUUUAACUAACCGACGGUUGGUAGAAUGUGAAAAUUAUAUGGUAUGCCAGAUCCGCCACAAAUAUAAAAAAUUCAUUGUUCACACGGACAGAGUCUCCCCUGAAUUUGCACGGCGUCGCGCAAAUACAAGAUGUCCAAACUGAGUAUAACCAGGAUACAACCACAAUAUAUGAAUAGACAAUUCUCAACAUUUAUUCACCAUUCACCAGAUAUUUACCAUUCAAUGUUUAAACAUAAAAACCACAAGAAAAGAUCUUUUGAAAGCUGUUUCCCACACGAAAACUUUUUCUUUUUAAAACGCUACCACGAGGGGUAGAAAACUAUUUUUCCUUUUCACAAAAUCCACAAGUUCUAUAGUUCAUUCAAAACCACAUAAAUUCGAAUAACAUAAACCAACUGAACAAUGAAAUAUCAAAGCUAUUAAUAACAAAAGUAAACAGGGCAGGAACUAAACCAACAAGCCGGGUCGGAAGCUCUAGCGACCAUUACGAACGUGUCUCACGUAUCGUCUCUACUCUCACCGCCUGCGACACCUGAAAAAUGGUGGGGGAGGAGCUGAAAAAGACAAAGAGGGAGGAGAAGUAGCUAACUCUGGCGGCCGGAGACGCGCACCGGCGGCCGGGGUACGUACAGUUAGGGCAGGGGAGGUAGAUGGAGUGGCUGGGGGUGCGGCUAAGGUCUAGGGUUAGGGUUUCCAGUGCAAAACCCUAGAAUACCUUAUAUAUACUUAGCUCCAAAUUGCGAAAAAGCCCAUCUAGACUCGAUAAUUCUAUCCGCGUCCCUCACAGCGCGAGUAAAUCGCGCAGAUACCCUUCCACGUCCGAUUUCAUGCAAAACGGUACAUAAAAUGUCGUGACUUUUGCGAAAAUACCGUUUUGCCAUCACCGAUCUCUCCUCGAUCAACGCGCAAUCUCCGCAGAUCCGUCUGUCAGAUUUGUGAACGGAUCGCACCAGUGCGAUCAGUACCACAGAGACAACAAAGCUACGAUUUUGGUUCGCCUCGAUCGGUCACAGAUUCGCGAUGAAAUCCGAUCCAUCUCUCCAACAGAAGAACUACACACAAAUACAUAUAAAACACGUAUUUUCAGAUUUUCUCGAAAUUCGUGCUUCAAACUCAAAAUCUGUCAGUGCCAUAAGUUCCAGAAUAGCUAAACCGGUCGAAACGAGCUAUUGGACUGCUAUGAACGGAGUCCGGUACGAGCCAGAAGCCACCUCUACGCAUUGAGCUCUCCGGAAAACCAAGUUACUAUUCACUUUAAGUGAAACUUGGAAAUCGCGUAGAAUCUCCGUUCUAACUCGUUUUCUCCCGAAACUUGACGAGUGCUUUUGUAAUUAAACUACACACAAAAACCUCGUCAAAUGAGAGUUUAGCUACACUGCCAAAAUCUCGGUCCUUACAUUAAUAGUAUAAUCUAACGGGUGGAAAUGAUCAAAGGGUAAAUCUAACGGUAGAAAACUCAAUAGUACCAAAGGCUUGGUACUAUCAAUAGUAUAGUAGCCGGUCUGUCUGUCUGUCUCUCUCUCUCUCUCUCUCUCUUCGCCCCAUCGAGAAAUGGAUGCUCGCCCCAUCGAGAACUGGAUACUCGCCCCAUCGAGAACUGGAUACUCAAACUCAAUCUCAGCCUCGCUUCUCGCCCCAUCGAGUACGGGAAUCCGUAAACUCAAUACUCAACCCGCUCCUCGCCCCAUCGAGAAAUGGAUAUCACAAUCUCAACACCCUGCCCACUUUGUUCCCGCCCCAUCAGGAAGUGGAUGUACUAAACUCUGUUCCCGCCCCAUCGGAUCACCUAACCCAUUACUGUACUUAUCGUAUUCACCUAAACGUAAGUAUGGGACUAAUCUGUAUCAUAUACAAUCACCUAACGUAUUGAUACAGCAUAAACAUAAGUAAUGUAGCAACUUCGUAUAAUAGUACUAUCAUCCGAAUAACGAUCAACUAUAAAGUACGUAACGAACGUAAACUACCGUGUUAUCUAGUAUCAACGUCAAGUUAUAGAUAGAUAGAGAGAUAGAUAGAUAGACACGGUCGAAUCUGGAUCACCCUUCUAGCCGCCUCAGCCGCCGGCUUGGGUGACCCUUGAUAUAAAAAAUAUCAAGAGUGGGGCACACCAAAACCCCAUGUCCAUGUGUGCACUCGCCUGGCCGUCCUCUAGCGCCAUUCCCGUAUCGCGGGAUCGAUCGAUCAUCUCGAAAGGAUAACAUGAUCUCGUGGGAGCACACGUACCAAUAUCUACUGUACUACAUAAAACCUAUCGAUCGUAAUAUAUAUACACUAUACUAAUACAUAAGUAAAACCUUCGAAUUUACAUUGGUUCAACAUAAUUUACAACUUACAGUUUACACUACAUUAUCUGUCAGUAUAGAGAGAAAAUAAGUGAACAAAUGCGAACACUACGAACGAGAACAUUACAAGCCGUGACCAACACGGGAGCGAUAACAAAACUAGUACAUACAUAAGUUCAACUAAAGGACCCUUGAACAACAUGUACUAGGACAACAAAUCGGAACCCGCCUGUCCCCUCCACGACAGGUAAGCCGCAGACAAGCUGCGCGGGCCUAGCAUGGUUUAACCAUCGCCAGGGCUCCGCACUGUUAAUAACAUAAUAUAUAUAUAUAUAUAUAUAUAUAUAUAUAUAUAUUUCUAUAUAUUCAGCAAUAUUUUCAUGAANAAUUCCGAUUUCAGCACAGGUCAUUCCCAACUUAUAUUUCACUUCUCUAAAUUCAAUAAAAAUAGUAUCUCAUACUAUUUUUAUUUAUUUCUAUUUUUUAUAUUUAAAUCCGGUAUAUUACAUUACACCGCAACCUUACCGGAACCAUUCAAAUGGCUCUCUAACCAAAUGGACACCGUAGCUUCAUAAUUUUAGAAGUCCGGUACCUUACAAUAAUCAC